CCAGUGUUCUUAACUACUGAGCCAUCUCUCCAGCCCCUCAUCUGGCCUCAGAAGCUAAGCAGGGUCAGGACUGGUUAGUACUUGGAUGGCAGGGCAUGUGAGAAGUCUGCUGGAUACCGUG
rnacentral:rRNA from 1 species